GUGUCAGCAGCCGCGGUAAUACCAGCUCUCCGAGUGGUGGGGACGUUUAUUGGGCCUAAAGCAUCCGUAGCCAGCUGAGCAAGUCCCCAGUUAAAUCCAGCGAUUUAAUCGUUGGACUGCUGGGGAUACUGUCCGGCUAGGGGGUGGGAGAGGCCGACGGUAUUCCCGGGGUAGGGGUGAAAUCCUAUAAUCCCGGGAGGACCACCAGUGGCGAAGGCUGUUGGCUAAAACAUGCCCGACGGUGAGGGAUGAAAGCGGGGGGAGCGAACCGGAUUAGGUACCCGGGUAGUCCCAGCUGUAAACGAUGCAGGCUAGGUGUUAGGGCGGCCACGUGCCGCUCUAGUGCCGCAGGGAAGCUGUUAAGCCUGCCGCCUGGGGAGUACGGCCGCAAGGCUGAAACUUAAAUGAAUUGACGGGG
rnacentral:rRNA from 1 species